UACGUAGGGUGCGAGCGUUAUUCGGAAUUACUGGGCGUAAAGCGUGCGCAGGCGGUUCGUUGUGUCGGUGGUGAAAGCCCCGGGCUUAACCUGGGAAUGGCCAUGGAAACUGGCGAACUGGAGUGUGGCAGAGGGGGGUGGAAUUCCUGGUGUAGCGGUGAAAUGCGCAGAUAUCAGGAGGAACACCGAUGGCGAAGGCAGGUCUCUGGGCAUUAACUGACGCUGAGGAGCGAAAGCAUGGGGAGCGAACAGG
rnacentral:rRNA from 1 species